UCGACCGCCUGGGGAGUACGGCCGCAAGGUUAAAACUCAAAUGAAUUGACGGGGGCCCGCACAAGCGGUGGAGCAUGUGGUUUAAUUCGAUGCAACGCGAAGAACCUUACCUGGUCUUGACAUCCACAGAAGUUUCAGAGAUACGGGGGUGCCUUCGGGAACUGUGAGACAGGUGCUGCAUGGCUGUCGUCAGCUCGUGUUGUGAAAUGUUGGGUUAAGUCCCGCAACGAGCGCAACCCUUAUCCUUUGUUGCCAGCGGUCCGGCCGGGAACUCAAAGGAGACUGCCAGUGAUAAACUGGAGGAAGGUGGGGAUGACGUCAAGUCAUCAUGGCCCUUACGACCAGGGCUACACACGUGCUACAAUGGCGCAUACAAAGAGAAGCGACCUCGCGAGAGCAAGCGGACCUCAUAAAGUGCGUCGUAGUCCGGAUUGGAGUCUGCAACUCGACUCCAUGAAGUCGGAAUCGCUAGUAAUCGUGGAUCAGAAUGCCACGGUGAAUACGUUCCCGGGCCUUGUACACACCGCCCGUCACACCAUGGGAGUGGGUUGCAAAAGAAGUAGGUAGCUUAACCUUCGGGAGGGCGCUUACCACUUUGUGAUUCAUGACUGGGGUGAAGUCGUAACAAGGUAACCGUAGGGGAACCUGCGGUUGGAUCACCUCCUUACCUUAAAGAAGC
rnacentral:rRNA from 1 species